UUAACUCAAUUUUGUAUGCAGUUAGAACAGCGCCCAUAGUGGCAAACGUAGGCAAACGUUCUAACUCCAUACAAAUUUGAGUUA
rnacentral:pre_miRNA from 1 species